rnacentral:lncRNA from 1 species
CCCUAGUAAUGAUUGUGACCAAGUUUGGUUAAAUUUGGUCCAUAGUUUUAGAAAAGAAGAUUUUUGUACAAGUUACAAAAAUGACAAAAAGUUGUUCAAUAUUGACUAUAAAGGACAAUUACUCCUUAAGGGGUUCUGACAAUUUUGGUCAUGUUGACUUAUUUGUAGAUCUUACUUUGCUGAACAUUAUUGCUGUUUACAGUUUAUCUCUAUCUAUAAUAGUAUUCAAGAUAAUAACCAAAAACUGC